GGAUGGUCCCCCGAUGAGGGGACCCGCUCGACCGGACCCAUCGCCGACGGGGCCGGAUCGGGUGUGACAAAAUCGGCGUGCGGCGGCCCGGCGCCCCGGAAGGCCGCCUAAGACCGAAGGGGCUGGCCGGCCGGAGACCUUGCCGGUUGGAGGACCGGUCGGUGAGAGGGGAAGAACCGGAUAAGCCUGUAGACACCGGCGGUCGAAUCUUCCGGACGCGGGUUCGAUUCCCGCCGCCUCCACUC
rnacentral:tmRNA from 1 species